UAGGGUUUUGCAUUUCCUGGUUCGCCAUUGCCUUCGAUUUUAGGGUUUACAGUCUCUGAUUGGAUUUGGAGUGUAAUAACUCUGCUGAGUCGAUUAACGUUGUCGGGAUUUGCGUGGUUCGAAGAUGUACAGCGGCUCUAGCGAUGGCGAGAGCCUCGACACCUCGACGCAGAGGAAGAUUCCGCCGGCGUCUUCCAUGCUUUGGGUUAGAAAUUUACGGCCGUACAUGGUCCGGUACUGGACUCGGAUACGAAGCUCUAAUGGGAACAUAUAUACAUGGCAAUGCUUGCUUGUAUUGAUUCUCCCCCCUGAUAUAUGUGUCAGGAAAGUGAGGAAGAAGUCACCGACACCGAACAGGCAGAGAAUUGGUUCUCUUUGACGUCAGCUCAACGCAUAUGCAAUAUGUUUCUGACAUUUGAUAAAGAUAUGAAUGGAUCACUGAGUAAGCAAGAGCUCGAAGAAUAUGCUGCUGAUGGGACAUUGGCUGAGAUUUUCAUCGAAAGAGUGUUCGAUGAGCAUUGUCCGGCAUGGCAAGAGUAGCGGAGGACAUUCCCGAGAGAUGGUUUUUUAGAGUUUCCUCAACUUUGUUCUUGCUCUGGAGAAUAAAGACAUUCCAGAGAGUUUAUGUCUGUUCCGCUGUCUCGAUCUCCAUGGGAGGGGCUUUUUCACUACUGAUAUUCACUCUCUUUUCAGAGACGUUCAUCAGAAAUGGACCAAGGGUGGGUGGAAACUACAAGCUGUGCAUAGAGGAUGUAAGGGACGAGAUCUGGGACAUUGUGAAGCCUGUGGACCCGUUAAAGAUCACGUUGGCGUGUAAACAGGGUGGGACAGUGGCGAGCAAGCUGAUAGACACGAAGGGUUUCUGGGCUCACGACAACUGGGACGAGGAGGAACAACCCCCCCCCCCCCCCCCCGG